CUCGGUUGUUUAUUAUCAAUCGGCCUCGGCCUAAUAAUUGAUUAGUACAUCGACACAAUUAACGAGACAACACAAUCCACUUUGUUAUGGACCGUUCGAAGUAACCUAUUUUAUAGUGUUGCUCACGGUUCCCGCACCAUUCCUUGGAAGGCUAUUUUAUUAUUAUUGAGGCCCAAUUAUUUGAGUCGAGCCUAGUUUGUUGAUCCAACACUUAACCCUAAUUGUAACCUACCUAUUUUGGACAAUAUGCUUGGCAUAUAAUCCCCUCAUUCUCUCGGCCUCCAUUAAAGUGAAAUAAUCCCCUCUUUGUGAGCCUCUCUCUCUCUCGGCCUCUUCCUCCCCCUCUCACUGUGACCUUUGUGGUUAACAUAUUAUGGGUAUAUUCUUGGCCUUCUCCUUCCCAAUUGAUAGCAACCGGACCGGUGGCGGCAUAGGGUGGUGUUGGAGUUGUCUCAAGUUUUGGUGUCGAUGUUUUUGGUAAACUGAGCCCGGUUUUGCACUAGUUGGCUGUGGAAUUCGGUCCUACAAGUGGUAUCAGAGCCAGUAGAAGCUUUCCCGGCCUAAAAAUUGACAAAAAUCGGCUGCAAUCGCGAUUUGGGGUUGAAGAACCGCGGCUGCAACCUUGAUUUCCGGCCAAUCCAGCCACUUUUCGGUGAAACCGAACCCAUAUUCGGGAUCAGCAAGCUGAGGCGCUCCCUCGGCUGUGGCGCAUGGCGGCGGCGGUGGCGCGUGGCGGCGAUUCUGGGCGAGCUUCCUUCGGGCAGUUUGCUUAUUUUAAUCCCCUGAACGCACUGACACUAUUUAUUUUCUGUUUCA
rnacentral:lncRNA from 1 species